UGGAGGGAUGAGAAGGUGGCGCAGUCUGCUAUACUGCUUCUUACUGGUUAUACCCUCCAAUAGUAACCGUGCAUGUGCCUGUUGUCUUCCUACCUGUGUUGGGAAAUGACUUUGCAUUAACAACAU